rnacentral:misc_RNA from 1 species
AACGCACAUUGCGCUUUCUGGUAUUCCGGAGAGCAUGCCCGUUUCAGAAUCAUCAACAUCAAUCCCAUCCCGCACAUGUCAUGUGGGGGAUGGGGAGGCUGGAUGCUUUGAACCUUAACAGGUGCAAUGGUCUUGAAUGUAGAUUGUACACAGCCCCAGUUGAUAGCAGGUUGGCUCCAUGGUGCAGCAGAUAUUUACCAAGUCUCUUCUACCUGGUUGACAAUCUUGUGGUCCUGGGCUUGCUAGUGUACACGCACUUGGUACCAGUUGAUCCUAUUCAGGAACAACUGAUUACUUGGUCUGAAAUUGGGCAAGAAAACCCGCUGAACUUAA